UUAGGAGCUUCACGCUUCUGUAGUUUCUCAAUGCCUGUGGGAGGCAGCAUCAUCCCUAUGAUGGUGGCUCUCUUGAAUGGAACAUGCUUCACGCAUGUUAGGAGCUUCACGCUUCUGUAGUUUCUCAAUGCCUGUGGGAGGCAGCAUCAUCCCUAAGAUGGUGGCUUUAUUGUAUGCAACAUGUUUCAUGCAUGUUCAAUUCUGCCCUCUGAAGAAUGCUUUGAGAAGAAGAAACAGAAUUGGUGCACCUUCUUCAAGGACCUCCAUGCCUGAACCUGGAUGUGGAAACUUUUUCUCCUCCGAAGUGGCCUCUGUGGCAGAUUUCAAGAAAGAACUAAAAGAAUCUGAAGAAAGAACGAAAGGAAGCAACAAUGCACGACAGAAGCCAAACCAGGGGCUGCAUUGAUAGAUGUUCCCUGUCCUGAAUGCAACAUGCUUCAUGCAUGUUAGCAGCUUCAGUUCUAUAUUUUCCCAAUGGCUGUGGGAGGCAGCAUCAUCCCUAAGAUGGUGGCUGUCUUGAAUGGGACAUGCUUCAUGCAUGUUCCAUUCUGCCCUCUGAAGAAUGGUUUGGCAAGAAGAAACAGAAUUGGCGCACCUUCUUCAAGGACCUCCAUGCCUGAACGUGGAUGUGGAAACGUUUUCUCCUCCGAAGUGGCCUCUGUGGCAGAUUUCAAGAAAGAACUAAAAGAAUCUGAAGAAAGAACGAAAGGAAGCAACAAUGCACGACAGAAGCCAAACCAGGGGCUCCAUUGACAGUUGUUCCCUGUCCUGAAUGGAACAUGCUUCACGCAUGUUAGGAGCUUCACGCUUCUGUAGUUUCUCAAUGCCUGUGGGAGGCAGCAUCAUCUCUAAGAUGGUGGCUGUCUUGAAUGGAACAUGCUUCACGCAUGUUAGGAGCUUCACGCUUCUGUAGUUUCUCAAUGCCUGUGGGAGGCAGCAUCAUCUCUAAGAUGGUGGCUCUCUUGAAUGGAACAUGCUUCACGCAUGUUAGGAGCUUCACGCUUCUGUAGUUUCUCAAUGCCUGUGGGAGGCAGCAUCAUCCCUAUGAUGGUGGCUCUCUUGAA